UCCUGGCUCAGAUUGAACGCUGGCGGAAUGCUUUACACAUGCAAGUCGAGCGGCAGCGCGGGGGCAACCCUGGCGGCGAGCGGCGAACGGGUGAGUAAUAUAUCGGAACGUACCCCGUCGUGGGGAGUAACACAGCGAAAGCUGUGCUAAUACCGCAUACGACCUGAGGGUGAAAGCGGGGGAUCGCAAGACCUCGCGCGAUGGGAGCGGCCGAUAUCGGAUUAGCUUGUUGGUGAGGUAAAGGCUCACCAAGGCGACGAUCCGUAGCUGGUCUGAGAGGACGACCAGCCACACUGGAACUGAGACACGGUCCAGACUCCUACGGGAGGCAGCAGUGGGGAAUUUUGGACAAUGGGGGCAACCCUGAUCCAGCCAUUCCGCGUGAGUGAAGAAGGCCUCGGUGUAAG
rnacentral:rRNA from 1 species